AGAUUAUCCAAACUCUCAGGUAUUGGCUACUAUGUAAGCCAUAUUCAUACCGGAUCGUGUCAUGACUAUGAUACUCAUCAGGAUGGUGCCCACCCGCCCGGCAUGCGCCCGUCACUCUGUACCCUGCACACAAU
rnacentral:ncRNA from 1 species